CAGCAGCCGCGGGAAUACGAGGGGGGCAAGCGUUGUUCGGAAUUAUUGGGCGUAAAGGGUGCGUAGGCGGUUUGACAAGUCAUCUGUGAAAUCUAUGGGCUCAACCCAUAGCCUGCAUCGAAAACUGUCGGGCUUGAGUAUGGGAGAGGUGAGUGGAAUUUCCGGUGUAGCGGUGAAAUUCGUAGAUAUUCGGAAGAACACCAGUGGCGAAGGCGGCUUACUGGCUCAUUCUAGACGCUGAGGUGCGAAAGCGUGGGGAGCAAACAGGAUUAGAUACCCCUGUAGUCCCUGUCUCUUAUAC
rnacentral:rRNA from 1 species